rnacentral:lncRNA from 1 species
UGAAAUUAAAAUCUAUAGUCAGAAUAUGGAUAUUUCAUUCUAGUCAGUGUGGAUAUUUCAUUCUAGAAAUGUCAUAUUUCUGCAAAGUACAGAUUUAAAAGUUUUUGUGGUUUUGUCCCUAUUCAGACUUUAGUUUCUGAAAAAUUUUUAUUUUCAAGAAAAAUAGAAAUUGCAUUUCUUAACUAUCUGUCAGUGUUUAUGUUCCACCAAUCAUACACCUGGCAAGAUAAAGUUUAGUCUUUAGUACUUGUCUUUAUAAUUUAAUGGCAGAAUGUUGUCAUUGAGUUCCUUUCAUGCACAUUAUGAUUAUACACUGUUCUUCAGCAAAACGUAUGCUUCCUUAAUUAGUUCCGGAUUGGUUCUGCCCUUAGAAGAUUCAGCUCUUUCUCCUGCAUAACUACUAGCACUUUUCUUCCAAACCAUCAGCUUCCACUUUUCUUGACCAGCUUUUUGGCACUUUUUUUGCAGAUUGACUGCUCAUUUUCUUUUUUUUUUUUUUAACUUAUAAUUCAACUAGGUUUCUCCUUGGUGAUGCUAGAAGGCUAACAGAGUGCAAGGAGACAGAAGAUCUCUGCUUUUAAUUUUAAUAUGUCCUCUAACAGCAGUUACUGAAAUCCUUUCUCACCCUUACUAUUGAAGAACAGGACAUACUUACUCACUUUAAGUGUCAGAAAUGGCUGAGCUGAUCAAGAUGAAAGCACCAAAACCAAAAAAAAAAAAAAAAGAAAAAACCUCAAGCCAAGAGAAAGAGAGACUCAUAGAAGAUGUCAACAUAAAUGGACUCAGCUGGGGCUAUGGCAGAGAUGGCUGAGGACUGGCUGUGGCUCCACUCACAGGGGCUGCCCUGAAGACCCAGUGCCUUCCCAUGGACACCUGGUGCAGUGGUGAAAGGAAAGGUAGCAGAGGUAGAUGUGAUUAGGGGGCAGAAAAAUAAUAGGUGACUCUUUGUGUUAUAAACUGAUAGACAUUUUGGACAAGUUUGUCGUAUGAAAAUGCCUUUGGAACUUACAAUUACAUUGACAAAUAGUACGAUAAAAUUAUCUUGU